rnacentral:rRNA from 1 species
AACGAACGCUGGCGGCAGGCCUAAUACAUGCAAGUCGAGGGGCCCGUAAGGGCACCGGCGCACGGGUGCGUAACGCGUGGGAAUAUACCCUUCACUACGGAACAACGUCGGGAAACUGACGCUAAUACCGUAUGAUGACUCCGGUCCAAAGAUUUAUCGGUGAAGGAUUAGCCCGCGUCUGAUUAGCUAGUUGGUGAGUAACGGCUCACCAAGGCGACGAUCAGUAGCUGGUCUGAGAGGAUGAUCAGCCACACUGGGACUGAGACACGGCCCAGACUCCUACGGGAGGCAGCAGUAAGGAAUAUUGGACAAUGGAGGAAACUCUGAUCCAGCCAUGCCGCGUGAGUGAAGAAGGCCUUCGGGUUGUAAAGCUCUUUUAAUCGUGAAGAUAAUGACGGUAGCGAUAGGAAAAGCUCCGGCUAAAUUCGUGCCAGCAGCCGCGGUAA